rnacentral:sRNA from 1 species
UAUAUUCUCCGUUGGGGGGGGAUGAGAACCCCCGACCGGGGUUCGACAACUGGCGCAGCCAGUUGGACAGACCGCGAACGCAGUAAGCGGGCUGCCCCGCAGGGGCGAGCGAAGCGAGUCAAUCCCCCCCCUCACCGCCA